CACAAAUGCUCAACACGUGCUCAAGACUUUGGCGGCAUUUGAGGCGGUAAAACAUCACCGUUUCUGUGUAAUCCUACAGGAACAUCAGCCCUUACUGUCACAUCGAGGUAAAUCUUCCCAAGGCCGCUAUUCACAGUCAUCCCAUCUUCAAGAUUCUGUACCUGUUAAAUCAGAAAAGCUGGUGGAGCUAAUUGAAG